UUACCACUUUGUGAUUCAUGACUGGGGUGAAGUCGUAACAAGGUAACCCUAGGGGAACCUGGGGUUGGAUCACCUCCUUACCUAAA
rnacentral:rRNA from 1 species